rnacentral:rRNA from 1 species
UACGGGGGGGGCAAGCGUUGUUCGGAAUUACUGGGCGUAAAGGGCUCGUAGGUGGCCAACUAAGUCAGACGUGAAAUCCCUCAGCUUAACUGGGGAACUGCGUCUGAUACUGGUUGGCUUGAGUGCAGGAGAGGAACGCGGAAUUCCAGGUGUAGCGGUGAAAUGCGUAGAUAUCUGGAGGAACACCGGUGGCGAAGGCGGCAUCCUGGACCAAUAUUGACGCUGAGGAGCGAAAGCCAGGGGAGCAAACGGG